rnacentral:rRNA from 2 species
CUUUUCCGAAGAGAGUCUGACGGAGCACGCCGCGUGAGUGAUGAAGGCUUUCGGGUCGUAAAACUCUGUUGUUAGGGAAGAACAAGUACAAGAGUAACUGCUUGUACCUUGACGGUACCUAACCAGAAAGCCACGGCUAACUACGUGCCAGCAGCCGCGGUAAUACGUAGGUGGCAAGCGUUAUCCGGAAUUAUUGGGCGUAAAGCGCGCGCAGGCGGUUUCUUAAGUCUGAUGUGAAAGCCCACGGCUCAACCGUGGAGGGUCAUUGGAAACUGGGGAACUUGAGUGCAGAAGAGAAAAGCGGAAUUCCACGUGUAGCGGUGAAAUGCGUAGAGAUGUGGAGGAACACCAGUGGCGAAGGCGGCUUUUUGGUCUGUAACUGACGCUGAGGCGCGAAAGCGUGGGGAGCAAACAGGAUUAGAUACCCUGGUAGUCCACGCCGUAAACGAUGAGUGCUAAGUGUUAGAGGGUUUCCGCCCUUUAGUGCUGCAGCUAACGCAUUAAGCACUCC